rnacentral:rRNA from 1 species
GAUGAACGCUGGCGGCGUGCCUAAUACAUGCAAGUCGAGCGAACGGACGAGAAGCUUGCUUCUCUGAUGUUAGCGGCGGACGGGUGAGUAACACGUGGAUAACCUACCUAUAAGACUGGGAUAACUUCGGGAAACCGGAGCUAAUACCGGAUAAUAUUUUGAACCGCAUGGUUCAAAAGUGAAAGACGGUCUUGCUGUCACUUAUAGAUGGAUCCGCGCUGCAUUAGCUAGUUGGUAAGGUAACGGCUUACCAAGGCAACGAUGCAUAGCCGACCUGAGAGGGUGAUCGGCCACACUGGAACUGAGACACGGUCCAGACUCCUACGGGAGGCAGCAGUAGGGAAUCUUCCGCAAUGGGCGAAAGCCUGACGGAGCAACGCCGCGUGAGUGAUGAAGGUCUUCGGAUCGUAAAACUCUGUUAUUAGGGAAGAACAUAUGUGUAAGUAACUGUGCACAUCUUGACGGUACCUAAUCAGAAAGCCACGGCUAACUACGUGCCAGCAGCCGCGGUAAUACGUAGGUGGCAAGCGUUAUCCGGAAUUAUUGGGCGUAAAGCGCGCGUAGGCGGUUUUUUAAGUCUGAUGUGAAAGCCCACGGCUCAACCGUGGAGGGUCAUUGGAAACUGGAAAACUUGAGUGCAGAAGAGGAAAGUGGAAUUCCAUGUGUAGCGGUGAAAUGCGCAGAGAUAUGGAGGAACACCAGUGGCGAAGGCGACUUUCUGGUCUGUAACUGACGCUGAUGUGCGAAAGCGUGGGGAUCAAACAGGAUUAGAUACCCUGGUAGUCCACGCCGUAAACGAUGAGUACUAAGUGUUAGGGGGUUUCCGCCCCUUAGUGCUGCAGCUAACGCAUUAAGCACUCCGCCUGGGGAGUACGACCGCAAGGUCGAAACUCAAAGGAAUUGACGGGGACCCGCACAAGCGGUGGAGCAUGUGGUUUAAUUCGAAGCAACGCGAAGAACCUUACCAAAUCUUGACAUCCUUUGACCCUUCUAGAGAUAGAAGUUUCCCCUUCGGGGGACAAAGUGACAGGUGGUGCAUGGUUGUCGUCAGCUCGUGUCGUGAGAUGUUGGGUUAAGUCCCGCAACGAGCGCAACCCUUAAGCUUAGUUGCCAUCAUUAAGUUGGGCACUCUAAGUUGACUGCCGGUGACAAACCGGAGGAAGGUGGGGAUGACGUCAAAUCAUCAUGCCCCUUAUGAUUUGGGCUACACACGUGCUACAAUGGACAAUACAAAGGGCAGCGAAACCGCGAGGUCAAGCAAAUCCCAUAAAGUUGUUCUCAGUUCGGAUUGUAGUCUGCAACUCGACUACAUGAAGCUGGAAUCGCUAGUAAUCGUAGAUCAGCAUGCUACGGUGAAUACGUUCCCGGGUCU